rnacentral:lncRNA from 1 species
UUAAGAUGAAUGCACUGCCUAGUUUUUGCACUUUAUGUUGUUUGUUGGAAUAUGAUUCUUCUGCUUUCAAAAAUGAUUUUAGGAUAACAAGUCAAAUAAUGAAAGUAGGAUAAGAUUUAAAUUUGAAGUUAAGAUUUAAAUCAUUUAUGAGUUUGGAUAUGAUUUGGUAGAUAUUUUUAUUAAGAUUUUCCAUUAUAUUUUUCCUAUAUAUAUCGAUAUUUUAAUGAAUAAAAUAACAAUAGCAUUAUAUUUUCUUUUCCUCUACUCCCAAAAACCAACAAUUGGUAUCAAAACUAUUUUUUAAUAGCUUGUGAGAGAUUCAAUACGAGAAAAAAGAAGAAAAAAAGGAAGAUGGAAGCUCAAAAAAAUAUCAUAUGAAGAAAAAAAAAAAUCAAGAAAGACUUCUCCGUGCCACAACCAAUCCAUACCAUAAUAAACCCAUGCCGCAACAAAUCCAUGCCAGCUAUGUCAAGAGAGGACGAACUCCUUUCAAAAAUAUAACAUCAAAGCCAUGCCAAAAGAAGAUGACUUCUUGAACAACAACAAUGCCAAUGCUAAUGUCAAUGUUCAUGCCCAUGCCAACCAAUGCCGAUGUUAUUGCCAAUGUCAAUGUUGAUGUUGAUGCUCAUGCCGAUGUCAAUGUCAAGGGAUCUAAGCAUGCCUAUAAAAUGCAAUAAAAAAAAACUCUUGAAGAGACCGACAAUGUUACAAAAAUGGGAUAAUCUACAAUAAAAGAUGUAAGGAGGAGUUGGAAUAUGCUUCUUCUGCUUUUAAAAAAUUUAUUAUGAUUUUAGGAUAAUAAGUUAAAUUAUGAAGAUAGGAUAAAAUUUAUUUAGAUUAUUUAUGAUUUUGGAUAUGAUUUGAUAGAUAUUUUUGUUAAGAUUUUUUUAUUAUAUUUUUCCCAUGUAUAUAUCUAGGUUUUAAUGAAUAAAAUAAUAACGCUAUUAUAUUUGUUCUUCCUCUCCUCCCCAAAACCAACAUUGUUGUCUUCUUUUUAUUGCUUUUGGUGUCUUUUUAUACUUGUUAUUCGCCAAUAACUAAAGUUUUUGUCAUGUAAUGGACACAAAAUGUUCUGGAAUGUACCUUACCCUGUAGAUUAUUGUAUGGCAUGAGAAGUCUAGGUAGCUAAAGUUUAUUCUGAGUUCAUGCCUGAUUGCUUCUUUCCCCUCUUUAUUAAAAACUUGGUUGAUAUUUAGUCUUUGUAGAUUUAAUGUUCAAAGUCAUAGUCAGUCUGAUUAUAGUUAACAUUUGGUGAGUAUUUCUAUAUCAUUUUAUGGUAGAGUGGCAAAGUAAUGAAAAGUAAUAAAUGUAAGCCAUAAGCUGGUAUUGAAUCCCUUUCACAGUGCAAAGGCUAAGUUGAUUGGAAUACUUUGCUUUCUUAUUAAAGGAAAUACAUGCUACAUGAAUAAGAUUGGUGAUUUUCAGGUUUUGCUGUCCACAGACCAAGACCUUUUUUUCUGUUCUGAAAUAACUUGAUUAAUGUGUAUUCAUAUUAUUAUGAUUCUUUUGAUCAGUUCAAUAUUAUGUUUUAGGGAUAUGAACAGAUAUCAUUAUGUUGGAUUUCAGGGUCUGGCUGAUAUUAUUCCAAAAGAAACUCUUCUUUGGAAGUUGAAACUGCUUAACUCAGCUGCUGCUUAUGCCAAUUCCCGCCUUCAUGCCGUAAAAGCUGAAGUGCUAGUGCUUGCGAGGUCUUCACUCUAUUGACCUUAUGUGGUUUUUCCUUGAUUCUCUCAGAUUAAAUUGCUUCUCUUUUGCUUGCAUUUCAAGUGUUUCUUAAAAUGGUAUAUGGAAAUUGGCAGCUUGUUCUUACUAUGGCAUGAUUCAAUCAAUGAUCAUGUUGCAUCACUAAUGAUGAUGCUAGUAUUUCAUGUCUACGAUUUCUGUUGCAAAAGUUAAUGUAAUGGAUAGUAAACUUUUAAGCCUUAAAUGACCUGUUAGCUUUAGAUUCCUACUACCAACAAUUUGAUAAGUUCACCAUGAAAAAUUUAGGAUUAGUCAAGACAAAUAGAAUCUGGCUUGAUCAGGUCCCAUUAAAAUUUAUACCUGACACCUUGAAAAUACAACAAAAGCUAUGUUUCUCAGACUCAAUUAUGAGCAUUGCGUAUGGAAACACGCCCAGAUGUAAAAAUUAUCUACUUCCAAAAUUUUGUAAAUUUUCCAUCUAAUUUACCACUCAUACCUUAAUUAAUUUUAUCCAACAUGAGUACUAAAGUGAAGUAAUGAGCCAAAGUAACAAUGCUUACCCUCUUUCUCUUAUGUUGGUGAGUCCUAAAGGUUCUUCAAAUCUAUUUACUGCCUCCAAAUAUUAGCACUUGUGCAUUUGGUUACUAAAAUAAAAGAUAGACAUUGUUUCAUUUGUUUCCUAUUCUAUUUUUAGAUUAUAGAUGCUGUAUGCUCUCUGACAUUUAGAAGCAUGAUUGGACAAAAUGCGUUCUCAUCUAUGUUGGUAUUUCUGCUAUCAGCAUAUCACAAUGCAGCGCGUGAUUACUUAAUUAAGGAUCAGACAAAUGUAUACCUUGUUGGAAAAUGAUGCCCUUUUGCUUCUUGUGCUUGAUUUUCUUGUUGGUACUGUGUGCAAAAUCGCCUUAGAAUUGAUAAAUACUAUGUAGUAUUAAAGUUUUGUGUUGGUGUAUUUAUUAUAGUGGCAAAGAUUAUAUGCUUCCCAGUGCUGAUGAAGCUAAGCGUCUUAAAAGUUCACUACAAAAUUGCAACGUUCGUCUCUUCAAAGACCAUGGGCAUACAAUUUUACUGGUAUGUGACAAGCAGCAUGUUUGUGAGUAUGUAUCUGAAUUAAGUGGAUGAGAGAUAAGUGUCUUGGAUACUUUCUAGACCCCUUAUAACUAUUUCACAUCAAUAGAGCUUCUGGUCAGUAUAGAAAUUUUGCUUGUCUGUUAAAGUUUAAUCAACACCUUAAAUCAUUGGUGAUUGAAUAAAUGAAUCACCAUUUCAACCAAUUGCAGUCAGUUUUAUGUCAACUGUCUUUUGUGUAUUCGGUGUUUAUGUUGAUGAGAUGAUCCAGAGAUUGGGAAUUGAAUUCCCUUCUCCUUAAACUUCAGUUUCUCAAAACAAAAAUACUUGGUGGAGUGAAUCACUAUGGUGAACAGUUGUAUGCAAACUAUUUUAAGUGAAUGGACAAAUACAAAAAUGGAAGGAAACUUAUAAAAAUUUUAUAGUUCACUGCAGAAAUACAAAAAGUGAAAAUAUAUAUAAUAGAAUGUAGAAAGUAAAUGCAACAUUGUAGUAAGUCGCGAUACUUGGCAAAAUUCUUCUCAAGAAGGGGUUUAUUUUUGUGAAACUAGUAAACAAGUGUAUGGACACAUUUUAACUGCUGAAUAUAAUGCUUCUUUUUGUCAUAAUAAGUGGUGUUUUUGCUUCAUGGGUAUUUUCUGAAAACAUAUGCUUUUGGUGCUUUUCUUCGGACAUGAUCUCAAUGUUUACCUAAGCCCCCAAAUCUGAAGCAUUGAAACUACUGUCCGAUGUAUCUAAAAACAAUUAGUAUUGAAACAAGCUAAAAGAUCAAGGUCUCAACUUUGAAAUACUUUGCAUCAAUAUUUGUAAUCUUUCAGAAAUUGAGGCAUUGAAUGAAAUUCAUAGAAGCAUGUUGAUGGAUAUUAUAUAACUACCAUCUUUUGGUCAUUUUUGUUAUGAUCCAAUUCUGAGACUGUUAUACAUGGAGUAGAGUAUGGAUGUUUUGUACUUUGUCAUUUGUAACUAAUGAGAAUAUUCCAAAGUUCUGGGGAAUUACCGUGAUAAAUUUAUGCUUAAGACAAGUGCAGUGCUCCUAAAUUUUUCUUGUUUCUAGGUGAUAUGUAAGGCCAGUUGAAUUGGUUUGUAGUUUGUACCCAUAACUUUUACGAUAUGAAGCUUUUCUCUUUACUGCUCACAAGCUUCUCUUACGUGGAAAAACUUAACUGGCUGCUUUUGUCUUCUUUCUAAUCCCUCUAAUAGAACCUUCUCUUUUAUGGCACAGGAGGUUGGAAUUAGUCUGCUCACUAUUAUUAAAGGUACUUCCAAAUAUCGUUGUUCAAGGAGGCUCGAUUUUGUCUCAGACUUUGUACCCCCUAGUAUGUCAGAAUUCAAAUAUGCCUCUGAUGAAGCUUUUGGGUAAUCCAGCAGAUUUCUUAUAUGUAGUCUCUUCAAACUUAAUGGCCAUUCUAGGUUGCUUGAUCAGCUUACUGAAAUCUAUGGUUGUGUCACAUUUGUGCUUAUGAUGAGACCAAGGGCAUUUGAUCCUCAUCAAGCCUGAACCUUUUAUUUUCUUAUCGUUCACACUUAGAUUAGAUGGUUAAAAUAAAUUAAAGUUAAAAUUUAGGUUUUUAUCUGUCCACUGCUUAUUCUAUUUGCGUUUCAGUCUUUACUUCUCACUCAAUCUUCCAUCGUUGCUUGUCUUAGAACUAAAAACUUUUAAAAUUGCUAGCAUGUAUAUCAAUGAUUAUAAUUGUUGACUUGUUUGCUGAUUCUAGGGAUAUGAUUUGAUUAGAAUUCUUAAUUAUUUCUGUAGUAAUUAUUUGAUUAUUUGCAUCCUGUUUAGAUAUAAUUCUUUUUAUAUAAAUAGUCAUGUAAAUCAAUUGUAAAGAUCAAGAGUGAAAUACAAAAUUACUCUAAACUUUCCUAACAUUCUUUAUGGUAUUAGGGUUUUUCCUGAUUUUAAGGUUUAAAUUCAAUUUUUUUUCCUUUUUAGGGUUUCAAAACCUAAAUCUACCUUUUUGGUACUAACCCAUCUAGGAACCUUUCCACCUCUCACUGUCGACACCAAGGGAAUUGUCGGACCGUCGCCGACCCGACAGUCGACUCCGACACCGGAAAAGCCUGCACGUGAGGCUCACGCGCCUUCCCUUCCCAGCCCGUGAUACAUCGCCUGACGCUGCUUCAUCGCUCCGAUCACUCCGGCGACGAAUUUGAUUGUCUUUUCGGCCUUCUCAUGCCGCUACCCAAUCUUUUGGUGAUUCGGUUGGCUCUCUUGUGUGUACAACCUUGGGUAAUCCCUAUUCUUUCAUGGUUCAUUUGUCUUUACCAUGGCAGAAAGUAAACGAGUCUCAAUGGCAGAAGGUAAAAGGGUCUCGAUUCUUAAUUCUGAUAAUCCUUCCUUGCAAACUAGUCCCAUAAAACUUGAUGGAACUAAUUAUCUUGUUUGGUCAAGGUUUUGUUUGUUAUUUAUCAAGGAUAGAGGACUAUAGGGUUAUGUUACUGGUAACAAUAAGAAGCAACCGGAUGAGAGUGAUCUAGAUUUUCCUCAAUGAGACUUGGAUAAUUGUCUUAUUAUAAUAUGGUUACUUAACUCUAUGUAAUCUUAUAUAUCUAAAUCCUAUUUGUUAAUUAAUACUGUUGCAAAAAUAUGGAAGGUCUUGUCCUUAACUUAUUCCAAGAUUGGGAAUGAUGCCCAAAUUUAUGAUAUUUGGAAUAAGACCCAUAGUACUAAGCAAGAAGAAAUGAUUAUUUCCUAAUUUUAUUCUGAGUUAUGUGGCUUAUGGCAGGAACGUAGAUUACUAUCAAGAUUUCUAGGCAGACUGCACUGGAGAUGCAGUCAAAUUUCGGAGAAUGAUUGAAAAGGAGCAGUCUAUGAUUUUCUUGCAGGGUUAAAUAACGAAUAUGAUCCAAUUCGGGUCCAAGUGUUGGGAAAAAAUCCUUUUCCUUCUAGAAAAGGCUCACGCCCAUGUUCAACAAGAGGAAAGUUGUCGAUAUGCUAUGCUCUAUACUACACCAGAUGAAAAGGUUGGAUUGACUACUAGUUUGAGCACACCACAACCUUCUAAUUCUGAGAAAAAUCACCUACAUUGUGGCUAUUAUGGGAAACCGAGGCAUAUCAAGGAGACUUAUUGGAAGUUACAUGGUCGUUCCACUAGAGGCCGUGGUGGGAAAUGAGGUAAUUCUAGAACUCACGGUAAUUUAGCAGAAACUGUGGAGGAGCCCUUUAAGGAGACAACAAUGACUGAGUUCCUUUCUCCCAAUGAAAUACAGAGUCUCAGGCGCCUCCUGUCUCAUAUUGACCUCUUCAUCCUCCGAUGCCACAUCUAACUUUGUAAAGUCAGGUAAUGUUUCCUCUCUUGAUAAUGUUCCAUAGAUUAUUGAUUCUGGUGCGAAUAGAUACAUGACAGACUCUUCUAAAGGCUUUCGCAAUUAUUUUCCUUCUCUAACUAAAGAUAGUGUCAGAAUUGCUGAUGACUCUUUUACUCCUAUAUCCGAAACAUGUUCUGUUAUUUGCACACCCAAUAUUAAAUUAUCAUUUGUCCUUCAUGUUUCCUGCUUUCCUGUCAACCUUUUAUUUGUCGGUGCUAUCACCAAUGCUCUUAACUGUAAAAUUGAAUUCUUCCUGAUCAUUGUGUUAUUCAGGAUCUUCACAUGGGGAAGAGGAUGGGCAAUGCUAGGCUGCAUGAUGACUUAUACAUGUUGGAAGGUGAUCUAGGUUCUUCGAUAUCUCAAGCCUGUUUUAGAGAAAAUAAGGAUGUCAAUCAGGAAAUAAUACAAUAGCACAGGCGGUUAGAGCACCCAUCAUUUUUUGUCUUAGAAAAAAUUUAUCCUAAUUUGUUUGCUAGAAUUCAGUUUGGUUUUUUAUUUUGUGAUGUGCGUGAGUAUGCUAAGCACACUAAAACCUUAUAUCUUUUGAGUCAUAAUAAAAGCCAAAUUCCUUUUGUGACUAUUCAUUCUGAUGUUUGGGGGCCUACUCAAACUGUCUCCUUAUAUGAUAAUUGAUGGUUUGUCAUCUUUAUUGAUUAUUGCACUCGAAUGACUUGGGUCUAUUUGAUUAAAGCUAAAGGUGAUGUCUUUUCUUGUUUUUGGUUUUUUCAUAAGAUGAUUUGUACUCAAUCUGAUACUAAGGUGAAAAUUUUGAGAACUGACAAUGGGAGAAAAUAUAUGGAUAGUAGUUUUUCUGCUUAUUUGGAGAAUAAUGGGAUAGCACACCAGACUAGUUGUCCUUAUAAUAAUGCUUAAAAUGGCGUUGCUAAAAGGAAAAAUAGGCAUCUAUUGGAGGUAGCUCUAUCUCUUAUGUUCACCAUGAAUCUACCCAAAGCAUAUUGGGGAGAUGCGGUCCUUGUAUCUGCUUAUCUUAUCAAUAGAACGUCCCCUUAAGGCCCUUGACUUUAUGAGUCCUUUGGAGGUUCUACAAGGGAAUAAUUCAUGCAUUGUUCCACCAAAAGUAUUUAAAUGUGUUUGCUUUGUCCAUAUUAGGAUGGCAGGGGAGUUAGACCCUAAGACCCUUAAACGUGUGUUUGUUGGGUAUUCUUCGACACAGAAGGAUCACCCUCCAUCUAGAAAAUACUUUGUCGGUAUGGAUGUUAUCUUUCGAGAAACUAAACCCUACUUCAGUACCAUCCACUUACCUCUUCAGAGGAAGAAUAAUGAGCAAGAAAAGGUGAUUCCAAAUUCUGUGAUUCUGAAUGAUAUGAUUCAGCUACAGAGUUUGAGUUUUAGUAGACAGGGGAGAUGUCCAAUCAGGGGGGAGAGAAUUGGACGUUCGGACAAGCUAGAUUUGAGGAGAUAUUCGAGGAGAGACAAGACAGAAGAAGCCAUUAUGCAGUCUACUCAGAGUCUUCUUCUGGUGAGUUACCCACAACUCUUAAAUUCUCCAAUAACAUAGAUAAACUUAUUGUACAAAGAAAAGUGGUCAGAUCUUAUACUAAACAUCCUAUUUCUAACUUUGUUUCUUAUAAAUCCUUGUCUCCCUCCUAUAGAGCCUUUGCCUUGUCUAUUUCCUCUGUGUCUAUUCCACAGAAUUAGAAGGAAGCUCUUGCAGAUCCUAAAUGGAAGGGAGCAAUAAUUGAAGAGAUGAAAGUAUUGGCAAAAAAUGAGACCUGAGAGCUUGUCACUCUUCCACCUGGAAAGAAACUCUUUGGUUGUAUGUGGGAGUUCAUAGUGAAACACAAAGUUGAUGGCCAGAUUGGUUGUUAAAGGAUUAACCCAAAUCUAUAGAGUGGAUUAUCAAGAGACAUUUGCCCUAGUUGCAAAAAUGAACUCAAUCUCCUAUUAUCUUGCGUAGCCAACUUAGACUGGGACUUGCAAUAAUUUGAAGUGAAAAAUGCUUUUCUCCAUGGAGAUGUAGAGGAAGAAGUGUUCAUGAAAAUCCUUUCUGGGUUCGUUGAUGAGAAGACACAAGGAAAAGUAUGCAGGUUAAAAAAGUCUUUGUAUGGGCUAAAACAAUCUCUCAGACCUUAGUUUGACAGGUUUAGCAGAGUCACGAUGUCCUUUGGUUACCAACAGAGCAAUGCUGAUCACACUUUGUUUAUCAAAUAUAACAAGGAUAAGAUCGCCCUUCUUAUUGUGUAUGUUGAUAAUAUAGUAGUGACAGGUGAUGACAAAGAGAAAAUGGCUCAACUAGAAAGGUUGUUGGCUCAAGAAUUUGAAAUCAAAGAUCUAGGAAAAUUGCAAUAUUUCCUAGGUAUUGAGGUGGCUAGAUCAGAAAAAGAAAUCUUCAUCUCCUAAAGAAAGUACAUUAUGGAUCUUUUGGAAGAAACUGGUAUGUUGAGGUGUAAACCAACAGAAUCUUCCAUUGAAAGUAAUCACAGGCUAGAAGCAAAAACUGGUGAGUCCAUGGAUAUUGGAAGAUACCAGAGAUUAGUAGGAAGGUUGAUUUAUCUCUCACACACUUGACCGAAUAUAGCCUAUGCUGUUAGCUUAGUCAGCCAAUUUAUGCAUGACCCUCGCGAGACUCAUAUGCACGCUGUAUUUCGUAUCUUGAGAUACUUAAAGUUUGCGUUAGGGAAAUGACUUCUUUACUUCAAACAUGGUCACCUCCGAGUUAAACUUUUUACAGAUGCAGAUUGGGCAUGAUCUCUCGAUGACAGGAGAUCCACCUCUGGCUACUGCACAGUUUUGGGAGGGAAUCUUGUCAUCUAGAGGAGUAAAAAAUAAAGUGUUGUUGCUCGGUCAAGUAUUGAAGCAGAAUACAGAGCAAUGACCCAAGGUGUGUGUGAACUCUUAUGAUUGCAGAAAUUAUUGGAGGAGUUGAGGUUGGCCGAGAGAGAAAAGAUAACUGUGUAUUUUGACAGCAAAACUACUGUCAGUAUAGCACAAAAUCCAAUCCAAUAUGACCGGAUGAAGCGCAUUGAGAUUGAUCGGCACUUCAUUAAAGAAAAAUUAACAGACGGUGUUUUGAGCUUAGUUCAUGUGAUUUCUACCGGACAACUUGCGGACGUGUUUACUUAAGGUCUCAACAAUAAGAUCUAGCGUAAUCUGAUUUGCAAGUUGGGCAUGUAUGCAUCUUUGCACCAACUUAAAGGAGAGUGUUGACUUAUUUGCUAAUUCUAGCUGAUUCUAGAGAUAUGAUUUAAUUUGAUUAGGAUUCUUAAUUAUCUCUGUAAUAAUUAUUUGAUUAUUUGCUUCCUGUUUAGAUAUGAUUCUUUGUGUAUAAAUAAUUAUGUAAAUUAAUUGUAAAGAUCAAGAGUGAAAUGCAAUAAUAUUCUAAACUUCCUCAAAAUUCUUCAAGAAUUAGUGGUUGAGGUUGAAUCUAGAGGACCUUGGUGUAAAACCAGCUUACUUCUCUGAGUUUGGAUUUGACUGCUGACGCUUACUAGCUUAUUCAAGUUGCAUCCCAUUACAUGAAUUUGUAUCCAGGCUCUAGCUAAUAAGAAAAUCACAUACAUUUCAGAUUUAUAUGUGUUGCUACUGCUGCUGCUAUGUUUUCAACUCUAGAUGAUGGACGGAUAGUGAAAGGCCUUGCUGGGGUUCCAAAGGAAGGUCCUGUCUUGUUUGUUGGUUACCACAUGCUGAUGGGAUUUGAACUUUCGCCUCUCGUAGAAGGAUUCUUGAGAGAGAAAAUUGUUGUGCGUGGUCUAGCACAUCCAGUACUCUUUACAGAUUCGCAGGAAACUUCAACUUCUGAAUUUUCUCUACAAGAUUGGUUGAAAGUAAUGGGUGCUGUACCAGUUACAGCUAGUAAUAUUUUCAGAUUGCUUUCAACAAAAUCGCAUGUGCUUCUUUAUCCUGGAGGUGCACGGGAGGCUCUGCAUUAUAAGGUACUCCAACUUUCUUGCAGUCAAUUCAUGAAGUUUUGGUGGAAAGCUGAAGUCAAAGAUAUAUAUAUAUAUAUAUAUAUAUAUAUAUUUUUCUAAUUUCAUCAUAUGGAAAUUAUUGAAGUUGGUUUACAUGUUCACAUUGUUGUUAUGCAAGCCGUAGGCACCAUAUUAGUAGUUUGCUGCUCCAUACUUGCAAAAACAUCUCGUAUGCUAUUCCACCAUCCCCAUAGCUGCUACCUUACCAUUACUACUUUGCAUAAUUAAGCUAUAUUUUUCAAGUCCUCACAGUUGUAAGAAUUCUGUUAUUUCCAGGGUGAAGAGUAUAAAUUAUGUUGGCCUAAACAACAAGAAUUUGUGAGAAUGGCUGCAAGGUUUGGGGCCACAAUUGUGCCAUUUGGGACUGUAGGAGAAGAUGACAUAGCAGAAGUGAGUUUUACAUUCCCUCUGCUACCACAAUAAAUUUUCUAUACUAGACCCUAUUCCUGAUGGUACAGAUUUUUUUGUCUGCUUUGGAUAUGGAACAUGCUUCCUUCUUUUCUAUUUCUUUAUUGUCAGCUAGAAAUUAACGUAGUUUCUUUUAAUGAUUAUACCCAAAAAGCAAGAGAAAUUUUGGUUUUCUUAUUUAUUUAUGCAAACAAUCCAAAAACUUUGGUCUUAUUUAUGACCAUUUUUUAUUUUUAAUUUUAUAAACACUUAAACAUUUGUGUCAAUCAUACGUGCUGAGAGCAUAAUAAUUAAUGGAUGGAAGUGGAUAUGUGCCUCCUCUAGUAGAAAAUUUAGGUGAACUAGACUUACUAUUUUCUUAUUCAAUAUUUUGUGCAUAUGCAAAUUCGCAGGGCCCAGUAUCUGGUGGAUUUAAGCAUUUCUGAUAUUUUUGUCUCCUUUCCUUCAUAUGCAUUUUGGAUAUUUUUGUAAAAACUUCCCUUGCUUUUUCUAAACUUCAGUUUGCAGUAAUUCUCAUGCUAAUUGUAAAACCUUAAAAGCUGUUUGUUUUCUGGUUGUGGCAGUUGGCUCUUGACUACAACGACCUAAAGCAAAUCCCUUUGGUUAAUGACUUUAUUAGAGAGAUGAGUCGCAAUGGUCCGAGACCCAGGUGAUUACUCUCAUGCAGUGACAUUUGAUCUGCUGACUAGAAAUGAAAACAAUAUCAGCUUAAGACACUAGCUAGAUUUGAAUCUGCAUUGACAAAGUGUAUGAUCUGAUUACAGAGAUGAGAGUGCAGGAGAGGUUGCCAGCCAAGAUAUAUUUAUCCCAGGACUUUUGCCUAAGGUUCCUGGCCGAUUUUAUUACCUCUUCGGAAAGCCCAUUGAAACGAAGGGGAAGGAAGAGCUUCUGAAAGACAAAAACUAUGCAAAUGAGUUGUACUUGCAGGUAAAAUCUGAUGUUGAACACAAUAUUGACUACUUGUUGAAGAAGAGAGAGGAGGAUCCUUAUAGGAGUGUCAUUGAUAGAACAUUAUAUCAUGCAAUUUAUCAUCCUCGGCAAGAGGUUCCAUCCUUUGAUCCCUGAAAUAAGGAUAGACAAGGCAGAUUUAGGUACCUAAACUUGUACAAGGUUCCAUUUACUGAAAAUGAAUUCUGUACAAAGCACAAAGUUAUUUGUAAUAAAAGCUUUGGUGCUUCACCAGGUUCUCAUUUGUAGGAUUACCUUAUGAUUCUUAACAGUUGUAUCAAUGGCGAGUUUAAAUCGUGCUGGACUGGCUUUCCUGCUUAAAUUACACUUUCUGGAAGCUCCAUAAUCACUAUAGUUCAUGGGGUACCUGCCAACUGAACCAAAUUGGAGUACGCAAUUCUUUCACCGAGAACUUUUAACAAAGUGGAGGCCGGCGGGCCCAGCUUUGGCCCUUUGCAGGAAAUUGGCGCCAGACCAUUACAGCGACAGGCUUUCCUAGAAAUACCGGUGGCGAUAACAAGUUCAAUGAUUAUAGCAACUAAGGAUGGUAGAAGCCCAGUGGUAAUGAUGCAUAUCUAAAUGACAGUUGAUUUUGGUUUCUUCAUUAAGCAAUGGAACCAGCCAUUGUCACCAGCGGUGGUGGUCUAGGCCAAGUCAUUUGAAAAUGGGUGCAACUCCCAAUUCCACCAUCUCCAAGCCAACAAGUGAUAUCGGCAUAGCAACAGGAUUUUUCAAGGAACCCGCCUAAACUUCUGCUAAAACUGAUCUACGUUUCGGGUCUGCAGAGCCAGCCUAUGUGAAUCGAAGCUAGCCAAUGGAGCCUGCCAUGAUAACCCGCAGCCCGUGGGUCAGGCCAAGUUUUGCAACAUGGACCUAACCACCUGACACCAACCUCUCCAAAUUUACAAGUGAUAUCAAUGGCAGCCAUUGGAUUCUGAGAGAAGCCGCCGAGCCUCCUGUCUAUACAGCUACCAACAGCUGGGAUACUGAGCCAGGCUUCACAACAAAAACCAUCGGCAGCAGGGAAGCUUCAAAGUUGUUCAAUUUUGCAUCCACAUGAACACGAUGUUUAAAUAAUGAAUAAAUUCUAAUUUGCUAGAAAAGUGAACUUGUGGAAAUUAUCUUCCUACCAUUGCUAUUGCUCGCAGAACUUAUGCUAAAUUUUCCAAGUUCUUAAACCUAAAGUAUUUGGGUAAAUUUCUUAAAUUUUAAUAUAAUUAAUGAAUCGGUUCCUACUUUUAAAAUUUAACACUUAAAUUUUUGAGUUUUCAAGCCAUUUUCCUAUCCAAUUUUUUUAAGAGUCAUAGAAAUUGACCAUUUUCCUAUCCAUUUUUUUAAAAAAAGUCAUAGAAAUAUCAAUUAUGUUCGAUUAUGAAAUUUUAAAAUUGAAUAUUUAAUAAAUUUUAAACAUUUUUUUUUUGUAAUUAUUAUUUAUUAAUAAAACUAUUAAUUUAAAUCCAUUAAUUGAUAUUACAUUAGAUCGAAAAAUUAGAAGAAAAAAAUAUGAAUUCAAAUAUUUUCUAACAAAUCUAAAUGUACAUUUAAACAUUUCAAGGAUUUAAAUCAAACUCAUUAGUGAAUUAAAAUUAUCACAUAUUCAUAAAAUUCAAAUAUAAUAGAUUAAGAGAGCCUAAAUUCAUGACAUCUAGAUUCAAAAUAAAAUAAUAAGCAAUUGUGAGAAGCAAUAAAUUCAAUGAUAAAUUCAUAAAAUUCAAAUCCAUUACAUUCAAGUUUAUCAAACCUAUGUAAAUACAUUCAUAAAACGAUUGAUUUGCCUAUUGAGACCCCAAAAAUACUAGUUUACAACUCACGAGAAUUCACCUUGCAAGGUAUUGGAGGAUGACUAAAACCUGAAUGAUGGCAGCAGUACAGGUGAUUAAAGCAUGGUUGCUGGCAGCUAUGGAGAAUGAUUACAGCAUGGUGAUGGCGCGAAUGGAGGAUGAUUGCAAAGAGAAGAAAGGGAUGAGCUGAGAGAACCAAAGAGGAUGUGGGAAUGAGGAAAAUAUGUGAAUGGAUCAAGAAUUGGAAUCAUGUGUAAAGGGAAAAGAGAAUUGAAAUAGUGUGGAAUGGAAAUAACUUCAUUUGUGCAUAUGGAGUUUUUGGGUUGAGAAAAAUAAGAAAGAGAGAAAUUAGGUGUGGAAGGGUAUUCUUUUUUUUGUAGCACUGGUAUGUGAAGAACAAUUUAUAUUUUGGCAGCAUAUCACGAAAGUUGAAGAAUUUGGAGUUGAAGAAGCUAGCAGGAAGUCCUCAGUCGCUGCUAUAUUGGAUGGUAUUGAGAAGGGAAUAAAAUUUGCGUAGAGAGAGAGAAAAAAUCAAAGAGCCCGUUGAGGAAGGAGACUAAUGGGUAAUUAUGGAAUUUUGCUUUUUUUUAAAAAUAAUAUAUAUAUAAAUUUGUGUGUUUGUACUAAAUAACAUAUUUAAUAUAUUUUAUUUUUAUUUUUAUAUUUAAUAAUAUAAUUAAUUAAUAUAUUCAUAAUAAAUAUAAUUUAUUAUCAUUUGUAUAUAAUUUUUUUAUUAAUAUAAAUAAUCAUUAUUAUUACAAUUUAUAUAUAACUUUUUAAUUUUUUAUUCCUACUAUAUAACUUUUUAAUUUUUUAUAAUUUUUAACAUAAUAUAUUAAUCAUAAUAAAAUAUAAAUUUUAAUAUAUAUUUUAUUUUUAUUUUAAUAAUAAAAAAUCUAAAAAAAAUUAUAACUAAGACUAUUAACCAAUUGAUACUAAAUAUUUUUUUUAAUAAAUAUAAAUAUAAUUUUUUUAAAUAGAAAUUAAAAAAAUAAAACUGAGAUCUCUCGAAUUAUUAAUUUUACUCAAAUAUCUUUAUCGCUAAACUAAACAGUGCAUAAAUAUAUACAUACACUAGACUUUAAAAUAGAUUGAUGGAAGAUUAUCAAUUGUCACUAUUAAACUUAUAUAUGAGAGAUUACUAAAUGCAUCGAAAAUUCUAUAUAAUUAUGUGAUGUGAUACAAAUUUAUAAUUUUUUUAUUUUAAAUUUUAUUUUUAUAUAAAUAAUAAUUAAUAUAUAUUAAAUAUAAUUUAUUAUUUUCACUAUCACUAUUAAUAUACCACCUUUUAAUUUCCUCCCACUAUCUUUUACUAUAAUAAAUACAAUUUAUUAUAUUGAUUAUAAGGUACCUUUUGAUUUUUUUAUUAUUAUAUUAUAAUAAACAUUUUAUUAUAUUUUUAUUAUUAAAAAAAUUUAUUAUAUUUUUUAUUUUAAUAAUAAAUAAAAUAUUAAAAAUAUAUUUAUAAAAAUUAGAUAAUGAAAAUGUUUAGAUAAUAAAAUAAAUGAUUAUUAAUAAAUAUAUUUUAUAUAUUUAUUUAUUUAUUAGUAAUAAUUCUAUAACACAAUAUUAUGUUAAAACUUUUUAUUAUUUGAUAAUACUGUGAUUUAUUGAUUUGAUAAUUUUUUGAAAUUAUAUUUAAAAUAAUCUAAUUAAUAAAUGAUUAGAUAUCUGUGAUUUAUUAAUUUGAUAAUUCUUUUUGAAUAGAAAGAAUUAGACGAGAAUCUAUCUAAAUGUUAAGAUUUUUUUAUUUAAAUAAUUAUUAGAUUUAAAUUAUUCAAAUGAUUUUGAUUUUUAAGUAAUAUAUAAAAUAAGAUAUAUUAAUAAAAUUAAAUAUUUUAUUUUAUAAUUUUUUUAUUAUUUUAAAAUUAAAAAAAAUAAAAUAAAAUAUUAUAAUUUAUUAUCCAUCAAUAAAUGAUUUCAAGUUUCAUAAAUUUCAAAUCAAGAUAUGAAAAAAACUAUUUUGCUUCUGGAGUGAAUUCAUAAAAGCAAUUAUUUUAUAAAAUAUUAAUGUGGAAAGUUUUAAUAUCCGCGUGGCAAACGACUCGUUUUAAUGCAAUUAUCCGAGUUAAGAAUCGUCCGUUGAGCGCCAGAGAUAGAGAGUACGUAUUGCAUGUGUUGCUAGACAAGAACCAGAGAAAUUCAGGAAAAUGGAAAUGGCAUGUGCAGAAGCAGAAAAAAUGGACCUCUCAAAGCUCAAGAUAAAUAAAACUAGGUAAAAGUAUUAUUAUUAUUAUUUUAGCUAGAAUAUCCAAAAUUCAUGAACCUUCUUAUCCCGCAAAUCAUUUUUUUCCCUCGGUUCAUUCGCAUUCCCCUGUUAGCUGUGGCUCUCACAAUUUUUCUUGUCAAAGAAUCUAUAUUGCUGCCACUUUUAUUUAUCUUGUCUCACAUAGGAACUCUAGAACUAGGUGUACUACAAACUUUACACUUCCUUUUGUUUUCUGUGUUUGCUUCGCCUUUUUGGGGGUGGGUCUUAAUUGUCUUGAUAAGCAUGAAGGAUGUGUUUUUUUUUCUGUUAGAGUGAUUUAGGGACAACAUUUUAAGCGUGUUUGGUAUCAUUUGCUGAUAUUUCAAGUUGAGAUCCUUGCGUUUUUAUUUUCUGUUGCUGCUUGGCACUUGAAACUGGGAGGGAUUCUAAUUUUCUCAAUAGCCGAAUCUUGAAAAGGGUCUAAAAAAUUCACAUAUAUUUAGUGCUUUGAUUCUAGUUACAGUGUUCCGGUCUUCAUUGAAUCACCAGGCGUAUUUGGCAGUUGCAGCCCUUUUUAAGUGCUAUAGGACUUGAAAAGGGUCGGCUGUUACUGCUUAGCGCCUCAACGAAGUCUCAAGUUGUCCCAAGGUUAAUAUUAGGGGUGAGAAAUUUAUGGGUUCUCCAUUAUUCUGCGCAUUUUGUUAAUUUGAAGCCCUUUUCAAGUGCUUGAAAAGUUUCCAAAGUUUAUUUAUAGUUGCAAGCUUGGAAGUUGUUGCAAGUUGUUCUUCAUAAAAGUUGUAAGCUUUGUGCCAUUGUUGUACGGGCCAUGGCAUCAGUUUUUUCUUUCCAGCUAUCACCUUACUUUUUGACAAAUUCAGUAAUCAAGGGUCAGUUUCGAGUGAGAGUUCAGAAUGUAGGUAGUAGGGAAUCGAAAGUGCUCUCCUCUGAUUCAAUUGCAGUGAAUAAAACUUCUUUCAUUGAUCAGAAAAAGAAGAAUGGAGUUCUUUAUGAUGGAGGUACUUUGGUGGAAGAGGAGAGGGCUUUGAUUAAUGGAGAAAAUGGGAGAUUGGGAUCUGUAGCACAGAACAAGCGCAUGAAAGAUGUUUCAAAAGAUUUGGAAGCGUUGUGGGAUGAUGGAUAUGGCACCAAGACAGUGAAGGAUUAUCUUGAUGUAGCCAAGGAGAUGAUUAGGCCUGAUGGAGGGCCACCUCGGUGGUUUUGCCCCCUUGAGUGUGGUCAACCUCGAAAAAAUUCUCCAACUCUUCUGUUUUUACCAGGUAUUGAGUCCCUUUGUGGAGAAGCUCUUUUAAGUUGAAAUUUUACUUUUCUAAAAGUUGUGCAAAAGGACGAAAAAGAUAGACUUCUUAAUAAACGAGUUUUUGUCUUCCUGGAAGUGAUUUGGAUCUUUAAUAUUUGAGUGAUUAUUGGUGGAUUCAACUUUUAUCAUGUAAGUUUAUAGGAUUUUCAUAAUAUUGAAAUUUUCUUAUCCUUGCAGGAAUGGAUGGCGUUGGCUUGGGACUUAUUUUGCAUCAUGAAGCCCUUGGGAAGUAAAUUCUUUUGUUUCUACUUUCAUUACAACUGCCAGGACCUGUGUUCAUAUAUAAAUAAUUAAGGCCUGAAUGUUCAUCUCAAAAAAGAUGAGAACAAAAGUAAGAUGAGAUCAUGGUUUAUGGGAAAUUGAAAUAGGCAUCUGCUAUAGAGUUAAGAACUUGAAAACAGAAAAAGAUGAUCAAUAACAGCUAGGAAGGAGCUGCUAUCCUCUAAAUUGAUAAUCAACAGCACAACAACCCAGAAAAACAAUUCUCAGGUCCCAGCCUUAAGCCGAAAAUACAGAAAUAAGCAAAAACACACACAUGCCCUUUUCUCUUUACAAACCCCUCAAUAUAUUCCUUCUAAUCAUUGCCUAACUAACCCUGCCAGCUGUCCUUGUGAUCCCUGCUCCAGAAUAUUCUCCUCUCAUGCGCAUUGUGACGAUUCCCUCAUUUGUUUUCUCCUUGAAUAAACUCUCAGCUUCCUUGGCCCAUUCGCCUCUUGGCCCAGCUGCUUCACUUCUGGACUCGUAUCAGCAUCCCAAGUUUUGGGUUUGCUCGGAGCUGAAUGCUCCCGAAACACCCUGUAAUUGCUAAUUUCCCAGUGGAAAAUCCACUUUCACUUCUACUGUUGUAUAUGCAACAGAUUUAUUCUUAUCGUUGAUUAUGAAGAGACUCACUGGAAAUCCACCAUGAUGAAUGAUCAUAACUCAUAAUAAAAUCAUUGUACAUGCUACAGUUUGUUUUAUAAUUUCGUGUUAACUUCUGCAAGUCCAUUCCUUUUUCAAACUAUAUGAACUACUAAACAUUUACUGCACUGAUGCUUUAUGGAAAAAAGAAGCUGUGACUCUUGCUUGCAUACAUCAUGUGUUAGCAGUUGAAAAUCUUGGCAUAUGCAGGGCGUUUGAAGUUUGGUGCCUUCAUAUUCCAGUGUACGAUAGAACACCAUUUGAAGGUAUAAAUUGGAAAGCCUGCAAAUUUACUUGAACGUACUUGCUUGAGUUACUUAGUGAUUCUCUGCAUUGAUAACUCAGAAAGAUGUAAUUUUGAGAUGAUAUAAUUCAUGAGUAACUUUGUGCCAACUGGUGAAAUAAGAAUAGUUUACCUUUUAUUAUAAAUGGAAAAGUUACUAUUUAUCAUUAAUUUAACGUUAUUUUUUUCCAUGAAGGACUAUUGAAAUUUGUUGAAGAAACAGUGAGGACUAAGCAUGCUGCCUCACCAAAUAGACCAAUUUAUCUAGUUGGGGAUUCUUUUGGAGGAUGUCUAGCACUUGCUGUUGCUGCCCGUAAUCCUAAAAUUGACCUUGUUCUGAUACUAGCCAAUCCAGGUCAGUUCAGAGAUUAGCAGCAGUUUGUUCACCAUGUAUUCUUAAUAACUUCCUGGUCUGCACUAUUCAGUUGUCUGAUUUUUGUGCCUUUUGUUUUAGCCACAUCAUUUGACAGAUCACAGCUACAGCCCCUGCUCCCAAUCCUGGAGGCUUUGCCUGAUGGAUUACAUAAUACAGUCCCCUACCUUUUUAGCCUUUUUAUGGGUAUGUCGUCUGUUGCUCUGCUAUAUUAUUCAUUUACUUUCCCUCUAAGAUCUGUUUAGUUUCUGUGCUUUAGACAUGUUUCCAACCAAUGAAUAUAAAACUAUUUUUGUUGCCUACAAGCUUAAGUUUUUAGGUUGACUGUUUUCUUGUCUUGGUAUCGGAGUCUCUCAGAUCAAAAGAUUCAGAGUUUGAAUUAUGACUUCCCUAAUUAAGGUAAAUCAAGUCUGUGCUUCACAUUUCAAGCUCAGUUAGCUUUGACAUGCGAGAGUGUUAGAGAUAAAACUAUUUAUGUGUUUUUCACCUACAAGUUCAAGAUUUUAGGUUGAGUGGUUCCUUGACAUUAAUCAUAACUAACGACCUAUCUAUCAACUUUUUGUUACCCAAAAAUGUGUAUUCAUUUACUUGAAAAUAUGCUUUCAUGCUCAACCCCUAAUGUUGAUCAGUAGUAAAUAAGGGAAUAAAUAAAGUGAAUCUUAUUGAAAUACUCCUUAAAAAGCUACUGUAGAAAAGUCUCUAUCGACCUUUUAGUUAUAGGGCUGUCAGUCCCUUCUUUUGCACCAUGAUUUCUGGGGAAGCGAUAAUCAUAAAAAAAGGGCUUCCGGUUGAAUACUUAUACUGUCUAAAAUACUGAACAUGGACUUUUUGUUAGUUGGGUAUUCACUUGAUUAAAUGUGAUAAUGACUAAAGAUUUUGAGAGUUUUAUUACUGUAAAAGUUACGUUUACAAGUUAUAUGCAUCAUGGUUUUAAAUCGCGGUCGCGGCCACGUUCGCAUAACAGUAACAGCCUAGCGCUACGCAAACUUUUUUAAAAAACUUGCGAAGUUCAUAAAUAAAAUGAUAUUGAUUAGAUUUAAUUCAGAACAAUGUAUACAAAUGCAUAAUAAACAUAAAUGUAUAAAAUAUAGAUUAUUUAACUUAAAUUAAACAUCAUAUAGUUUAAAAUAAGAAAAAUCAACAUAAUCUUUAUAGAUCGAAUAAACUAAUAGCUCAAAGUACAAUUUUAACUCAAAACUAACACUUUAAAACUAACUUUUUAGAAGAAAUAAGCUUGGAAAUAGAGUAGUUUAUAAUGGAUUUAAGCUUAUAUGAGAAAUAUGCAAGGAAGAUUGAAAUUUGAAAGAGAAAGGGAAGAGAAAACUGAAAAAAUAUAGUCUUUGAAGCUGCUGAAAAGUGUAGAAACUAAUGAAAAUGAGAAUAGGGAGUAGAAGAUGAAGGAUAUAAAAGAAUUUUAAUUAUUGAUAAUAGCCGUUACCGUUACAUAACAGCCGUAACGGCCGUUACGCCUGCAAAUAAGGAGGGGUCAUUGUAUAACGGGGUAACGGGUAACGGCCCCCCCAAAACCCAUCACAUAACGGCUGUUAUUUAAAAUCAUGAUGUGCAUUCUAAUUUAUAUAUGAUGAAUCAAAACUAAUAAGGAUGUUAAAGGAAUAAAAUCUCUGCAAUUAUACUCUAUAAUUUAGUCUAAAAUAUGGCAUGAGAUCAACACUUUAAUCUCUGGAAUUAUGUCCUAAAGAUCUCCUAGUCAACACUCCUCCUCAAGUUGGUGUAUGAAUAUCACACCUAUCCAACUUGCAAACCAAAGUCGUAGUAGGUCCUAUUAUUAAGCCCUUUAAUGAACAUAUUAGCUAGCUGCUUGUCAGAAGUCACAUGGACUAAAUACAAGACACAAUUUAUUAUAUUUUCUUUAAUGAAGUAACGAUCAAUCUCUAUUACUUCAUUCGGUCAUGUUGAAUUGAAUUUUGUGCAAUACUGAUGACAGCUUUAUUAUCACAAUGCGGGAGUAAUUUCUCCUUUUCUAACAAUUUCAAUUCCUCCAAUAAUCUUUGUAACCAUAAAAGUUCGCAUACUCCUUGAGCCAUUGCUAUUGUUGAAUCCUACAUCGGUUGUGGAAAGGGGUAAUGUGCCCCUUAUAUGGGCCAUAGGCACUCUUCUCCCUUGAGCUAGCUUUUGGGGUGAGUUAGGCCUGGCCUAAAUUUAACAUGGUAUCAGAGUCUCCCCAUCCGAUGUUGGGCGCCCUAUAAAUGUUGCACGCACCAGUAAAAAUUCUGGGCGUGAGGGGGUGUGUUGAAUCCCACAUCGGUUGUGGAAAGGGGUAAUGUGCCCCUUAUAUGGGCCAUAGGCACUCCUCCCCCUUGAGUUAGCUUUUGGGGUGAGUUAGGCCUGGCCCAAAUUUAACAGCUAUAUAUUUAGUUUUGGCACUUGAUCGAGCAACAACACUUUGCUUCUUACUUCUCCAAGUAAUAAGAUUUCCUCCCAUCAGUGUGCAGUAACCAGAGGUUGAUCUCCUAUUAUCAGGUGAUCCAGUCCAAUUUGCAUCUAUAAAGACUUUUACUUGAAGGUGGCCAUAUUUAUUGAAAAGGAGACCUUUCCUAGGAGCAUACUUAAGGUAUUGCAGAAUGCAGAAAACAAGUUGCAUAUGUUAGUUGCGAGGAUCAUGCAUAAACUGACUUACUAAUUUGACUACAUAUACAAUGUUUGGUCGAGUGUAUAAGAGAUAAAUUAAUCUUCCCACUAAUCUUUAGUACUUGUUGAUAUGCACAGACUCACCAAUCUCCGCUUGUAGCUUGUGAUGCUUUCGAUAGGAGUCGAGACUUUGCUUGUUUGCAGUCUAACAUACCAGUCUCUUCAAGAAGAUAGAUAAUAUACUUCCUCUGAGAAAUAAAAAUUCCCGUCUUUGAUCUGGCAGCCUCAAUUCCCAAGAAAUACUGAAACUUUCCUAGGAAAUACUGAAACUUUCAUAAGUCUUUGAUCUCAAAUUUCUAAGCUAAAAGCUUCUUCAGUCGAGCCAUUUCUUCUUUUUCAUCUCCUGUCAUAGCUAUAUCAUCAACAUAAAUUAUAAAAAGAAUGAUUUUACUCUUAUGAUGUCUGAUAAACAAGGUAUGAUCAGUAUUGUUCUGUUGAUAGUCAAAAGAAAUCAUGGCUCUGCUAAAUCUAUCGAACCAUACUCUAGGUGAUUGUUUUAGUCCAUACAAGGUAUUCUUCAGUCUACAUACCUUUCUUUGUAUUUUUUUAUAAGAAAUCCUGGAGGAAUCUCCAUAUACACCUCAUCUUCUAAAUCUCCAAAGAGAAAUGCAUUUUUCACAUCUAACUGUUAUAAUUUCCAAUCAAAGAUUAGCAAUGCAAGAUAACAAAGACUCUGAUUGAGUUUAUUUUAGCAACAGGAGCAAAUAUUUCUUGGUAAUCAACUCCGUAAGUCUAAGUAAAUCUCUUAGCAACCAAUCUGGCCUUGAAUCUUUCAAUUGAACUAUCAGCUUUAUAUUUCACAGUGAAUACCCAUUUGCAUCCAACUGGUUUUUUUUUUUCAGAUAGAAGAGACACCAACUCGUAGGUCUCAUUUUUAGCCAAAUGUUUCUUGGUAAUCCACUCCAUAGGUCCAUAAGUCUGAGUAAAUCUCUUAGCAAUCAAUUUGGCCUUGAACCUUUCAAUUGAACUAUCAACUUUAUAUUCAUAGUAAAUACCCAUUUGCAACCAACUGAUUUUUUUGAGAUAGAAGAGACACCAACUGCAGGUCUUAUUUUUAGCCAAAUCUUUCAUUUCUUCAACCAUUGCUCCCUUUCACUUAGAAUCUUUGAGAGCUUCCUUCCAAUUCUAAGUGAUAGACAUAGAGGAAAUAGAUAAGAUAAAAGCUCAAGAUGGAGAUAAGGAAUCAUAAGAGACAAAGUUAGAAAUAGAGUGUUUAGUACGCGACCUAACUCCUUCUCUUUGAACAAUUGGUUUAUUUAAAUCAUCAAUGGGCUCAAGGAUUAAAAAUAACUCACCAGACGAAGAAGAGAAAAACUUUUGACACUGAGUAGACUGCACAAUGGCUUUUUUUACUUCUGCAUUAUCUCUUCUUGAGUAUCUCCUUAAAUCUGGUUUAUUUAGGUGCCUAAUUAUUUUUUCCUGAGCAACAAUAGUCUCCCUUGUACAGUAGUUUUCUCCUGAGUAAAAUGCUCUCAAGUUAUGGGACUAGGAAUCAUCUUUUCUCUUUCAUUGCUCUCCCCUUGAAGAGGUGAUGGAAUGGUAUUGAAAUAAGAUUCAGUCUCUCUAAAUAUAACAUCCAUUCUGAUAAAGUAUUUUCUAGAUGGAGGGUGGUAACACUUGUAACCUUUAUGUAUGGGAGAAUAUCCAACAAAUAUACAUUUAAGAGCCCUCAGAUGUAGCUUCUCAGUUGUCUUAGCACGAACAAAAUAUAUACACCCAAAUACCUUUGGUGGAUCUUGUAGCACCUUUAAAGGACUUCUAAAGAUAAGAGCUUUGAAAGGCACUCUAUUAAUGAAAUAAGAUGCGGCUAAGAUUGCAUCUCCCCAAUAGUUUUUUAGAAGAGUCAUGAUGCAAAGGAGAGAUAUGACUAUUUUUAAUAGGUAUCUAUUUUUUCUUUAAGUAACACUAUAGUGUAAGAAUAACUAGUUUGAUAUAGUAUCCUAUUAAACUCCAGAUAAGCAGAAAAAUGACUAUUCAUUAACUCUAUGCCAUUAUCAGUUCUCAACUUUUAUUUUAGCAUCAAAUUGAGUACAAAUCAUCUUGUAAAAAAAUUGAAAACAAGAAAAUAAAUCACUUUUUGUCUUAAUCAAAUACGCCUAAGUCAUUCGAGUGCAACAAUUAAUAAAAGUAACAUAUCAACAAUUAUCAGAUAGGGAACAAUCUGGUGGGUCCCCAAAUAUCAGAAUAGGUAGUCAUAAAAGGGAUUGUACUUCUAUUAUUACUCACAGGAUAGGAUAAUUGUUUCUUGUAUGCUUAGCAUACUCACAAGCAUCACAAAAUAAAGAACCAAACUGAAUCUUGGAGAAUAAGUCAAGAUAAAGUUUUUCUAAAAUAUAAAAGGAUGGAUGGCCUAACCGCCUAUGCUACUAUAUGGUUUCGUGGUUGACAUCCUUCUCUCUACAAAAAAAAGGCCUAAGAUGAACCAAACACUAGAUUUCCAUCUAAUAUAUACAAGUCAUUGUAUAGUCUACCAUUGUCAAUCCUCUCCCUAGUUUGAAAGUUUUGAAUAAUACAAUGGUCUAGAAAAAAAUUCAACUUUACAGUUAAGAGUUUUAAGAAUAGCACUAACAGAUAAAAGAUUAAUAAGAAAACGAGGAACAUGAAGAACAUAGAAUAGCUUGACGUUGGGAGUACAAACAAUAGAACCGAUUCCAAAGAUAAGAGUGAAAGAACCAUCUGCUAUUCUGACAGUAUAUUUUUGUAGGCAUGAAAGAUAAUUAAGGAAGCCUUAAAAGAGUAUGUUAUGUGUUUAUUUGUAUCAGAAUUAAUAAUCCAUGGAGCAAUAUCAAGAGAUGAAAUGAAAGCAUUAUCAAAAGCCCUUAUAUUAUCCACACUAGUCACUUUCUUGUUUGCCAUUUCAAGGAGAAGAAAAACCACAAUUUUUUUGUCAACAAAGGGAAAACUAUUGUUCACGGCAAAAAGGCACAAGUUUGAGUUGGUCAAAGGCACAACGUGAAGGAGAGGUUGCCAGAAAGGAGCUUCGUCGGGAAAAAGCACCAGAGUUUGAUCCACACGCCGGCGCAUGGAAAAGGGCAUCGAUAUUGUGGUGGCGUGAGCUCAUGCGCGUGGUCAGAACAGAGGCGUGUCGUCGGGAAUAGGCUGGAAAUUCGAUGGGUUCUCUCUUGAUAUGGGCGGUGUCGGUCAACUCUCUCUCUAGAGUCACCUAUAAGUUUGACCUAUAAAAACCUUAACUUUAUGAACAGUACCAGGAAUCCUUAUACCAAAUAAUAUUUAAUACCAUGAAAAUUUUGUGAGUGUUAUUGUUGUAAAGUUAUAUUUAUAAGUUAUGUGCAUUCUAAUUUAUACAUAAAGAAUCAAAACUAAUAAGGAAGUCACAAGAAAUAAAAUCUCUACAAUUAUGCUUUAUAAUUUAGCCUAAAAUAUGGCAUGAUUUCAACCCUUUAAUCUUUGCAAUUAUGUCCUAAAGAUCUCCUUAUUAGUCAAUAGACUCAACAUGAUUGAAAUCGAGGAAUAAACAAGGUGACCUAGUACACAGAGCAUCCUACACUCAUGGGCUCUAAGGAAGGUUGAGGUUGAUAUGUGCAGCCUUGCCCUUAUUUUGCAGAGCGUCUAAGUUAAAACUAGGAUUAUAUUGGAUAAAGCAGUUUCCAUUUGACUUACAGUAAACUUUGCCAACAUGUGGAACAUCCUAAGUGAAAUAUCCUAGAUAAUUUUUACUUCCAUUGUCAAGGGUAACCUUUUGCAGCUUCAAAUUGCUUUGAUCUCUGAUAAAAAGUACUAACAAGAAAAAGCUUUAGCCAACCCAUUAAGAAAAUAAAUUGCUUCAGUGUUACUUGCUAACAUUUUUUCUCAUGACACCAGGUGAUCCAUUGAAGAUGGCGACGAUUGGUAUCGAAAAUAGGCUUCCUCCCAAAUCAAAAAUUAAAAAGCUGUUUGGCAAUCUCACUGCUUUUUUACCACUUCUUUCUGUAAGAAAUUAAGAUGAAUGCACUGCCUAGUUUUUGCACUUUUAUGUUGUUUUCUUUUUAGUGCUUUUGAUCUCUUUUUAUACUUGAUAUUCCCCAAUAACUAGCCUACUAGAGCUUUUGUCAUGUAAUAGACACAAAAUGUUCAGGAAUGUACCUUACCCUGUAGAUUAUUUUAUGGCAUGAGAAGUCUAGGUAGCUAAAGUUUGUUCGAAUUCAUGCCUGAUUGCUCUUUUC